rnacentral:rRNA from 1 species
ACUCCUACGGGAGGCAGCAGUGGGGAAUAUUGCACAAUGGGCGCAAGCCUGAUGCAGCCAUGCCGCGUGUGUGAAGAAGGCCUUCGGGUUGUAAAGCACUUUCAGUCGUGAGGAAGGUAGUGUAGUUAAUAGCUGCAUUAUUUGACGUUAGCGACAGAAGAAGCACCGGCUAACUCCGUGCCAGCAGCCGCGGUAAUACGGAGGGUGCGAGCGUUAAUCGGAAUUACUGGGCGUAAAGCGCAUGCAGGUGGUUUGUUAAGUCAGAUGUGAAAGCCCGGGGCUCAACCUCGGAAUAGCAUUUGAAACUGGCAGACUAGAGUACUGUAGAGGGGGGUAGAAUUUCAGGUGUAGCGGUGAAAUGCGUAGAGAUCUGAAGGAAUACCGGUGGCGAAGGCGGCCCCCUGGACAGAUACUGACAACUCAGAUGCGAAAGCGUGGGGAGCAAACAGGAUUAGAUACCCUGGUA